CAUCCAUCCAUCUAACCAGUUCGAACCAGUUCAGUUUCAACGGUUGAAACUUCAAACUUUCCGGACGCGCAACGGGUAGCAGUUGGGGUCUUCGCGGCUGCAUUCCACUGGUUGUUAUACGAAAAUCUUUCGAAGUUCUAAUCUCCCGCGCGUUUUGUCUUGCAAUUUUUGAGCAUAGCGAGAACGUACGCCGUGCUGUCCAGUGAUAAAAGCUGUUGAGCGCAGCAGAGCUCGCAGAGUACUGUGGUGGACAACGUUUCUUUGUUCUCUGGCUUUCAAGUUUAAGGGGUGCUUGGACUAUCUUGCAUCGGUGGAUAUGAAAAUAGUGGUAACCUACCCUACGAAACAGCUAUUUGCACAUAAGCUUAACAGUUCCCUGUGAGAUGCUGUGAAGGUCAGCAGGGAAGUGCGAUGUAGAAGAAACGACUGCCAGAAGCUUGCUAAAGAACCGCACAACAUGUGUGAGCAGCAGACAAAAUAUUCAUCAAACGGUACAAAACUAGUAUUUUUGUGCUUUGUCGUUUUGAGACAUCCUUGGUAUUGUAUGGAGAACAGCGUGACUAUGUCAUUCCGUCUUACUUCACCCUAACAGCUAUCUGGUAGUAGUGCAAGAUUUGAGUUCCUAAAAGGUUUAUUCACUGAAGUCACCUCAGCGCCAUACUAUAGGUCCCUCAAUGUUUAGUCCUUGCAUUUGUUCGCUGCAUUAUGCUUUUUAGGUGACUAUUAACACCAAAAAAUAUGGAAAUUGCUUGGAUAUUCUACAAAUCACAGAGCAACAAGUUUUAAACACCAGAUAUGCGGUGAGUAUAAUAUGGGUAACAGCUUGACUGAAAUCUACAAUAGGGCCGAUGGCAGCAAAUCUGCCUGCUAGCGACAGUGGCGGUCUCCUGCGGAUGACGUCAUGUGAAUAAACUUGUAUACUACUUGUACGUACUUAUAAUAUUUGACAUGGUGAUACAGGUUUUGCUUUGUAUUGUCUUUUAUAAUAUACACAGUGUUUAUUUUUAUCCUGUACAGAAUUUUUGCACCAAAGUUAUGAGAGCAGCAGAGAUGUUGUUUUAGCGUAAUGCAGUGAUGGAAGUGCUUAGCAGUCGCCUGCUCGACCAGCCACACUGAGUCAUUGGAGGCAGUGCUGCAGCGCCAACAAUCACUCAUUGGAAGAAAGGAAUGAGGUGGCCAUCAACACCCUGCUGCCAGUUCAACACUCCUCAGUCAAAACACAAGACGCCUGCUUGGCGGCAAAGUCAAUCCAGUUUUAGACAGAGUUUUGUACCGUAGACUUCGUGUGUGUGUGUUUACUGCGAAUAAAUGUUUAUGCUGA